UUUUGCAUUUUUUUCUCAGUAUGACCCUAGUAACAUAUCUUAAAGUGUCAGGAGAAAAAGCUUUAAAAAGGAUGUAAAACAAGGUCAAUUUUUGAACAGGGCAGUGCUCUAAAAUACUACAACACCUCAUACAGUAUUAUCCUGUACACACGUGCAAAUACACACACUAUAUAUAGUGUUUGCCUAAAUACACACCAUAUAGUAUAUAUUAGAAAACAGAAGGCAAAUCCCAUGCUAUAGCAGACUUGAAGAAAAAACAUGAUGGCGUAAUAGGAAUUCCAUUGGCUCAUUGGAUCUAAUUGUUAUGUUGUAAACAAAACCUGUGUUGAGGUUAAAGUGCCAUGUAUUGUGGCGCAUUUUUUCCCAUGCUUGAAUAAGUCUCUCUACAAUAGGAAUAUAAUACUAAAGCAGAAGUAAUGCUUUCACUUCCUCCAUUGUGACAAUGUCUGCAGUAUAACUGGGACGUUGUCUUGUGUUAUACAAUCACACAGCACCCCCUCCAGUGACACCAGCUGCUAGUGUGUGUUUGUGAGGGAGUGCAAAAUUAUAGCGAGGAUGUCGCCAAUCAAAGAGCAUUCUGUCAUAUGAGGCUAAAGAGAAACAGGAAGUUUGGGGGUGUAUAGGCAGAAUAAUUUUUUGUUGUCUUUCUGUCUCUCUGAUUUCCUCAACCAACCAGGGAUCUGGAAGUGGCUUGGUCCAGCCUUGGUGCUGUUACCAUGACCCUGUUACUUCUACUAGGCUGGCAACUGAUCUGAAGGACUCACAAGCUGUGAUGUGGCUAAAUGUUGAACUCAGUGUCUGAUCUCAGGUGUUUUGAAGCCAGCAGCAAAGAGUUUGCAGCUGUAUUGAUUCUAGUCCGGCAAAGAACUACCACCCAUAAUAGGUCAGAAUUGUGGUGGCAAGGCUGAAGGGUAUCAACUUGUGCCAUGCACAAGGUCACACCCUAAUUCAAGAGCACAGAAGUACUGUAUCUGCCUGGGAGUCGUGGGAUUUAAAUUCGCAACCUCCCAGUCACAAUAACAGACAUUUAUCCACAGAGACUCAGAUAAAGUGCCUGAAUGCAGCAGUCUGUGUUCUAGCUUGCCCAUCAGGCAUAAGGAGGGGCCAGAGACAGAAAGAGGGAGACAGAAAGAGAGAGAGAAUAGGAGAAGAAAAAGAAAAGGAAUGUGCAGACUGUUGUGAAAUCUGAUGGAGGUGGGGGAGGACACUGCAACUUGCACGCUCAAGAAGCCUCACCAUGGGACUUAUGCUGCAUCCUCGUUCGCUCGGUCAACGGAUAUUAUGUCAAAAUAUAUGAGCCCUGAAUAUUAGAUGCUGGCUUUACUUUGACUGUCAAUAUUUUUGUUAUUAUUGUUAUUGCAAAAAUUUUAUCUGCUUCAAAUGAUUACAAUUAAAAUCAAUUUCCUGGUGUGUAUCUAUCCAUAUUAUUCCACACUACCUUAAGCUCACUAUAUCUGAAUUCAUCACUUCUUAUCUGAGCUUGUGCACCUGUUCAUGCUGUCUUGUAAUUAAUGGCAACCAAAGCCAAUUCCAGACAGUUCCUCCUUUGUCCCCAGCAUUCUCAUGACUGUCUGCUAUGUGAGAUUCUGUCUAGGAGGGGCUGUUAUGGUACAAAGUGCACUUACUAGCACAGGUACACAGCGAUUGUC